GAUGAACGCUAGCGGCAGGCCUAACACAUGCAAGUCGAGGGAUAGCAGGAUUAAGCUUGCUUAAUUGCUGACGACCGGCGCACGGGUGCGUAACGCGUAUGCAACCUACCUUAUACUGGGGUAUAGCCCGGAGAAAUUCGGAUUAAUCCCCCAUAGUACUAAUGAAUCGCAUGGUUUAUUAGUUAAAGCAUUGCGGUAUAAGAUGGGCAUGCGUCCUAUUAGCUAGAUGGUGAGGUAACGGCUCACCAUGGCUACGAUAGGUAGGGGGCCUGAGAGGGUGGUCCCCCACACUGGUACUGAGACACGGACCAGACUCCUACGGGAGGCAGCAGUGAGGAAUAUUGGUCAAUGGGCGCAAGCCUGAACCAGCCAUUCCGCGUGCAGGAUGAAGGCCCUCGGGUUGUAAACUGCUUUUGUACAGAACGAAAAGGUUUCUACUAAUACUAGGAACUCAUGACGGUACUGUAAGAAUAAGCACCGGCUAACUACGUGCCAGCCGCCGCCGUAA
rnacentral:rRNA from 1 species